AAAUUCAUUAUUGGCUUUCUUACAAGUUUUAUUGAGGCUGAAAAGAAGCCAGGUGUUCUUCUUACUUUGUUUCAUUACUUGGAAAAAGUAAACAAUCACACAGUAUGCUUAGAGGCUCUCCAGGUGAGAGCUGCAUCAGUAACAUGUUUUGCGGGCAUAACUUCCUCUGUAUUCUUCUCUCUUGCGAAGGAGAAACAUGAUUUCAUUCUUUCUGCUGCGGUAAGCAUUGAUUAUGUGUUUUUGACUUGUUUCUCUUGGAAAUUAAUUAUUUGCAGACAAGUUUAUGCAUUAUAACUAAGAGACUUUGCAUAUUAAUGCAGCCAAACAAGACGAGGUGCCUUCAGUUAGAUCAGCUUCUUGUCGAGCCAUUGGUGUCAUUUCAUGUUUACUUGAAGUUUUCCAGAGGUGCGAAUAACUGCUUCUUGGGCUUUGGCAAACAUAUGUGAUUCUAUCCGGCACUGUAUUGAUACUCUUGCUUUGGAAGGCUCCACAGGAGCCAGAGUCCUUGGGAUGCUUGUUAGAGUUGUCAUGGAAUGGACAGAAGUCACUGUCAUUGAAAGGGGCAACCCGUAAAUUCCUAGAAGAUGGUGAUAAAGUUAUCAUCACUGGUUUUUGCAAGGGUUUGACACUGCUGUUGAGGAAGCACAACGAGCCAUUAAUUCAGCUUACAUCGAGUGGCAUUUAAAUCUUGGGAGGAUCAUAAAAAAUAACUUGAAUUGGAGAAGGCUCGUAAAUCUGGGCUUGCACCAACAGAGGUUGAUGAAGAUGGCAAAGAGAUUAACUUUCAUAUUCCUCUAUAUGUCAUUUUUUAGAACCGGUAAGCUUUAAAUUUCUGAG